UAUGAACAUUUUAGGGACAUUCAUCUCAUGAGGCUUUGAAAGGAGAGCAUAGAAGUAUAUUUGUGACUUUGGGGAAAUAAAGAUUUAUCUGAUGAGAUGUGGAAAACAAUAAAAUUAUCAUAAGUUUUUUAAAAAAACUAGACUUCAUCAAACUUUUGAUAUUCUUUUAAAGGUUAUAGAGGCAGUAAAAAGUCUGAUUUCCUUUGCAAAUAAAUAAUGUGGUAAUAGAAAAGAAACUAACUCCUGCACACCAACUAGGGAACAUUGAGGUGUUGACCUGUGAGAGAGUGGUGCAGAGAGAGCCCCGUAAGACAGGAAACCUUGCCUUGGCAGGGCGAAAUGACCAGGAGGAAAGUAGGAUUUAGACACACUGACAAGUUUCCUUAUAUUAUGCAGCACUAUGCAAUUUUCUAAGUGCUUUCAGAUGUUUACUCUUGACUCCCAUAAAAUCGCUGUGAGCUGAGCAGGGCUUAAUAUGAUUUCUACAUUCUAGAAGAGCCUGAGAUCACACGGCUGGGGAACCGUGGGGCAGGAUGGAGUGUGGGUCCUUCGUCUCUUGGCUUCCUGGGUGUCGGAGCUGGGUGUAAAUCCAAGCACCCACCCUGCAGCCUGUGCUCAGCCCACCGUGCUCCAGGCUGCUCAGGCUUUGUGCACGGAGUAGAGUCAGAGGCAACGGAAGAGGAGGUGGCAGCCAGCACUCUUGGGCCCGGGACCCUUGCUUGAGACUUGACAUGAAAUGGAAGAGAGUGCGAGAACUGGAAGGAGAUCACAGUAGCUCUGGCUUUCAGACACAAGUGUCUAUUUCCUCAGUCAAGGAGAAGCCUUCCUCACACCAUGAGAGGUGUGGACCUUGUAUCUCUUACAACAACCAAGGCUGGACACCACCUCCUAAUGUCGUUGGAAAAGCCAGUGCUCCACCUUAUGACCCAAACUGACUGAGAGAAUGUUUGCCAGGCCCCUGGCUGUCUACGAGGAAUGGGAGGCAUUAAUGGAUUAACUGAAUCCUGGCUCCUACAUGUUAGCCUGAGGUCAAGAGUUAAAACAACAUUGAAAUAUCUUCCUAAUCACAAAGAAAUUCCAAAUCAAGUCAUUUCAUUUGCACAGAAGUCUUGUAAAUGUGAUCUUUGCAGAGGGAAAGCACUCCAUGGAAUGAAGGGGAAGAAGGAGCAAGGGUACGGGUCCCAGUGGUCCCAGCCUGGACUCUUCCUAGCUGUUGAGCACAGCUGAAAGAACAGAGCAACACUCGAGGCCAAGGUGGAAAGAGCUUCCUUUCCUUGUAGGCCACUGACCUUACACUGGAACGAGCACCACCAGCAAACACCUGUGAUGCCAAUCGUCUUGCAGGUAGGAGAGAUCCAUCCAGGAGUGGGAUGGACUCGACAUAAGCUGCAGGUGUGAUUCCUAAAGGACGUGCUACUCAAACACCAUGGAGGCUCGGCAGCAAAAAGCUGGUGGCGGGGUUGCAAAUUGCCAAGCACACCUGACACUCAUGGCCCUACACGCUCAUUCAACUGUUAAGAUACGGAAUAGAAAUCUACCCCCUGGGCAACCCAAGUGUUCAUUAACAGAUACAAACAAACUGUGGUCCAUCCACACAACAGAAUAUGAUUCAGCCUUUAAAAGGAAGGAAACGCUGACAUGGGUUACCACUGGAUAAACCUUGAAGACAUAGUGCUCAGUGAAAUAAGCCAGUCACAAAAGGAUGAGCGCUGUGUGAUUCCUCUUAUAGGAAGCACUAAAGUAGGCAAAUCCAUAGAGACAGAAAGUACAGUGGAGGCUGCCAGGGUCACGAGAGGAGGAGUUAUUGUUCAAUGGGUAGAGUUUCCAUUCACAAGACUAAAAAGCCCAGAGACGGAUGGUGGUGACGGUUUCCCACAGUGUGAAUGUGCUUAACACCACUGGACUGUGUGCCUAAAAUGAUUAAAUGGUUAAUUUUAUAUUAUAUAUAUAUUACCAUAAUUAAAAAGAAUAGCAUCAGUAGGGCCAGCACAAUGGCUCACACUUGUAAUCCCCGCACUUUGGGAGGUCAAGGCAGAAGGAUUGCUUAAGCCCAGAGGUUAGAGACCAGCCUGGGCAACAUGGCGAGGCCCUGUCUCUACAGAAAAUCAGCUGGGCAUGGUGGCAUCUGCCUGUAGUACAAGCUACUCGGGAGGCUGAGAUAGGAGGAUCAUCUAAGCCCAGGAAGUUGAGGCUACAGUGAGCCACUGCACUCCAACCUGGGCAACAAAGCAAGAAGACCCUGUCUCAAAGGAAAAAAAAAAAUAGCACCAGCUAUUUUUAAAAAAUCCCCCAUGGAAGUCAGGAACACUUUUAUUCACUACUUCCUCAGCAUCACAAAAGGUGUUUCUUCCCCAUCCUGGUCUCCCAGCCAAGGAUAAGCAUUAUAAAUGCUGGUGCUUUGAGAGAAGUUGGGCUACUUCUAAAGUGGUGGUUUCUGUUUAAGCCUGGAAUUUGCUCUCCCAGAGGAUCAAGGACCAUGUUGAGGCAGUCGGGCUGUGGAAAGCUCUGUGGCACCCCAGCACACUUUUGAUUUCAACAGCAUUGUCUCUAGCCGUCAAAGCAUCCCUCUUUGGGCAGAAGUUUUCGAUGACUGGCAUUCUUUCACAAUUCUUGCUCUAUCAAAUGUUUUUUAAAGCACCUCUGCCCAUAAAUGCAACACAAACAAGUUGCCCUGUGAGUCACAGGACGAGAGCACAUGCUAAGUCCGCGUAAUGAUCUUUAUGUAAUUUGCCCCUUAGUCAUUGUCUGGCCCAUUAGGUAAACAGGCAGUGUGCAUUUCUUUGAAAAUAAGGGUCUCUAUAAAAACUGCCAUUGUGAAUAGACUGAGCAAUAAAGCGCCCCACAAGGUGUUUAACUGAAAGGAAUGUUUUAGAGAUAAAAGCAGGUUUGUUUUGAAGUCAUUCAGGAUAAAAUAUGAAACAGGAUUUCCCCAAGUCCACCCUGGACAUUGAUUGUUUUUAAAUUUCAUAGGGAAAAAAAAAUCACUGUGGCCUAUCUGAGCCUUAGGGGCAAACGCUGAAGUCUCUCAGUGGAUAUCGACUUUGCACAGGAAAAAAGGCACUGAGACCCUGGAGGUGGAGCAUGGAGCUCUGCCGCCUCGCUUCCUCUGUGAGCUCGGCCCUGGCAUUCCUCACAUCACUGCUGGCCCUUGAGUAACAGGCCCCACACUUUCAUGAAUAUAAUAGAAAGAAAGCAGAAUUCGGUCUUAAAUGUAGUUGAAAGCCACAUCGAGGAAGAUGUGGUGAAAUACCCCAGGAGAUGCAUUGAGCUUCAGAACGUGCACUGUGUGCCGGGCCCUAGCUUUCCCCAGCCUCCUCCUGAUGAACUCUGGUUUCCUCUCAUCCUUCAAGGCUUAGCUGGGCCGGGCACGGUGGCUCAUGCCUAUAACCCCAGAGCUUUGGGAGGCCAAGGUGGGAGGAUCGCUUGAGCCCAGAAGUUCGAGACUAGCCUGGGCAACAUAGUGAAACCCUGUCUCUACAAAAAAAAAAAAAAAAAAAUUAAAAAUUAGCUGGGUGUGGUGGUGCACACCUAUUGUCCCAGCUACUUGGGAAGCUGAGGCAAGAGGAUCACUUGAGCCCAGGAGUUCAAGGCUGCAGUGAGCUAUGAUAAUGCCACUGCACUUCAGCCUGGACAACAGAGCAAGACCAUGUCUCUGGAAAAAAAAGAACAAAAGGCUGGGCUGGUUUAAAAGUGAGCUUCUCACCGAGCCCUUCCCAGAGGACUCUCCUCAUCUGGGCCUUCCUUGGUCAUGCUAAUCACAUUGCAUUGUAACUGUUGGCUAAUCGGCUUGCUCCACUGGAAUUUGAAGUUCUUUGAUAGAGGGAAUGUCUUUCAUCUCUGUAUCCGCAGUCUGACGCCUGGUGCUAUAGAUGCUAAGUAAAUAAACGGUGCUGGACUUGGACCUGAAUCGAUCCAUCACCGAGUAUGUGUUGAGUGUCUAUCUACAGCCCUGCUAUGGGAAAUGAAGACAUGCUUGUUUUCCCUAAAGAGCUUAUAGCUUUGUUGGAGAAGCACUGCAUAGGAUACUAUAUCAGGCAAGAGAGGACACAUUUGGAUGACAGUUGCACACUAUAGACAAAUUUCUCAAGUAACCCAGAAGAGAUGGGAUGGGAGCUCUUUUCCUGAAGGUAGCUGUAUGGAACACUGAUGAGGAUCUUGAGCAUUUGGGAGCCCAAAAGAGGGACAGGCUUGGAUUGAGAGGGAAAGUAAUGGGGAAAGGAACUCCAUGAACUGCAGGACAUGGAAUGCAGCAUUGUGAGCCUAAUUUUGAACAUUUAGUCCUGUGUUAAAAGGCUUGCUAGUAAAAAGCUUGUUUACUUAUUAGUAAAAGGUUUUACUAACUACAUGAGCUUAGGUAAGCUGGGUGGAGGCUCCCUGCCUCCAUUUCCUCUAUAAAGUGGGACAAUGAUAGUAACAACCUCAAUUUGUUUGUAUGAGAAUGAAAUGGGACACUGCACAGGCACCCUUAGCAUGCGCUGUGGACAGAGCUCUCUUCCUUACUAGCUGGUAGUAUGCGCCAAGAGGGGAUGAGCCCAGCCUAUCUGUGGGAGAGUCAUCAGGGCUUUUUGAGCAUUGGUGCCCACCAAGAAGUGUGAUGGGCCUGGAUUAUGAAGGGCUUCAAAAAUUGGCAGAUGAACUUCAACAUGACGGGGAAGAAACAGGAAACCCUGGGAGGUAUUCCCCUUGCCCCACUGAGGGUAGGGAGCUCAAGCCAGCAUGGUCCAGGCUCUCCUCCCCUCAUUCCUGACCAGGUUUAAUGCGUUCCUACCUAGCUCACCAACAUAUCCAAUGGGAGUUCCCACAAAUUAAACGUUUUUCGCUAAGCCUGUGGUGCUUUGAUUACUAAGUGGGGUUUUGUUUUGUUUCCAUUAACAAAGAGUGACUCAAAUAGCCUAAAAUAAUAAAAUCUUUUCUCAUCUCUGACUUUGACUCCUUAACCUCAGCACAAAUCACAAGACCCUUCUCAAUUUUCUCAUCUUCAACAUAUAAAUGAUGCCAGCGCCUCCCAGGGCAUUAGAAGGAUUAGCAUCUGUCAAAAAUACUGGAAACCUUGGGACCUAUGGCCCGAGAAGAGCUUUAGCAAGUAUUUUAUUUUUAAAAAAGAGCCUAAACAGGCUGACUCCCUCUGCAUCUUGCUACUUCUGAGGUCUAUGCAGUUCUGCACUUUUCUCUUUUCUAUUGUUAUGUAUUUGAUUAUCCCUUACAGAGUGGGGUGGUUUUCCUGCUAAACACCAUCGUGUAUGCAGUUAUUUUCCUCCCCUCAGCUCCCCACAGUAUUCC
rnacentral:lncRNA from 1 species